GGAUGCGAUCAUACCAGCACUAAAGCACCGGAUCCCAUCAGAACUCCGAAGUUAAGCGUGCUUGGGCGAGAGUAGUACUAGGAUGGGUGACCUCCUGGGAAGUCCUCGUGUUGCAUUAC
rnacentral:rRNA from 1 species